rfam:Canis lupus familiaris chromosome 38, whole genome shotgun sequence.
GCCUGGGUGGCUCCGUGGUUGAGCACCUGCCUUUGGCUCAGGGGGUGAUCCUGGGGUCCCGGGAUCAAGUCCCGCCUCGGGCU